CAGAGGGGGCAAGCGUUGUUCGGAAUUACUGGGCGUAAAGGGCGCGUAGGCGGCGUGCUAAGUCGAACGUGAAAUCCCCGGGCUCAACCCGGGAACUGCGUCCGAGACUGGCAUGCUUGAAUCCGGGAGAGGGAUGUGGAAUUCCAGGUGUAGCGGUGAAAUGCGUAGAUAUCUGGAGGAACAUCGGUGGCGAAGGCGGCAUCCUGGACCGGUAUUGACGCUGAGGCGCGAAAGCCAGGGGAGCAAACGGGAUUAGAUACCCCGGUAGUCCUGGCCCUAAACGAUGAAUGCUUGGUGUGGCGGGUAUCGAUCCCUGCCGUGCCGAAGCUAACGCAUUAAGCAUUCCGCCUGGGGAGUACGGUCGCAAGGCUG
rnacentral:rRNA from 1 species